CAUUUCGUCAUCCUUCUGAAUGGAAAGGAUGUUGACAGAGUAGAAGGCGUGAAAAUGAUGGAACUGGUGGGUAAGCUGAAGGCACUGAAAAUUCGUGUGGAAAUGCCGCCAGUUGCUGCUAGUGAGGAUGACCGGAAGCUAAUGCAGAGGCUGCAGGCCAUUACAGCCCAAGCUUAUGUGC